UGUUAUUUUGAUACUAUUACCUGGUAUUAUAUUUAAUGUGAAAACCAGCACAAACUGCCAAAUUAUGUUGAUGUCACAUGUUUUACAAACAUACCAGCCAUUAAAUGUAAGAAUAAAACAUGCAAAAAGGAUUCUGAAGAAAAAAUAAAAAGAAUAAUGUCGCAAAAAAUAUUGUCUAAAACGGUCUCGAACCCAUGACCCCUACGCUCAUGGUUUAAGUUUUCACCAGUGGUUCUCCCUACUGAGCUAUAGUGGCAGUUAUGUACAAUUGUGUAUUGUAAGAUUUAUAAAUGGUACAUUGUUGGUUACACCCGUAUGAAAUAAACAGGGGUAUUACGGGCGUAAAAUACACGUAAAACACACGUAACUAUACUUUUAGACCAGGAACUGGGACGUAACUCAAAUUUUACAGUUUCCGACUCAAUAUUACGUGCGUACAAUUUUGCAAAUGACGGGCGUAAAUUUAUUUCAAAUGCAAACAUUUAUACUAAAAUAAUACAUUGCAUACUGAAUACACAGCAUCAUAAUGUAAUGUUUCAUUUUAGCAGUCAUGGGAAGAGCAAAGUUCCAGGAUGAAGAUCUUAUGCGGCAAAAUACCGAGGAGAUGGAGAGGGCAAAAUUGAGGGUGUGUUUUGUAAACAAAAUAGUAGGUUAUGGUGUUUUUGCCAAAACUGCUAUAUCAAAAGGUGAACUCUACAUUGUAGAGUACAGAGGACCAUUGUUAACAAGCGACACUGAUAUUCCCUGACACUACGUAUACAUUACUAUUUCCAGCAUCAGGGCAAAGAGUAUUGAAAAGCUCGCCGAAUGGGCGUUUACAUCAAACACAGGUAGUAAAUGACGUAGUGUCACUCUAGUGAUCGGUGAGAGGGUAAUGUUUGCUCCACCCAAACGUAUAUUUCUAGCGGCCGCAGUGGAAAGAAGCGAGAAAAGCAGCCUCAUAAAAUUUUAGUUACAAAAGUAAAAUAUUAUGGGAGUUUAUUUCAAGAUAUUAUCCUGCAUAAUCAUUACAAUAUAUGUACACAUACACAGCAUAGACACUUAAAACUAUUUACAUUAUAGAUCUGAACUGUCUGAAGAUCGACAUUGAUGUGUAUAAUUUGUAUUUAUAGCAACUCUCAACGAAAUACAACACAACUGGUUUCAUGUAUUUAUUUUGAAUUGAUGUAUCUAGUCUUCGUAUAAUAUCCACGGAUGUCGGUAAUGGAUUUUCUUUCAAAUGCAGAAAAUAAGGCAUUAUCAAUGUUGUCCUUACACAUUGAGCUAUAAAGUUCUCACUGCGAUCAAAUGGUCAGUAUACGGUCGCGUAUAUUUCGAAAAUACGGGAGUAUACGGGAUGUAUAUAACAAAUAUACGGACCUAAUAUAUAAUCCCGUAUUCGGAACAUCUAGUAUACGGGAAGUCCGUAUAUUUGUCAUGCAUAUACGGGAUCCCGUAUACGCCGAAUAUACAUAAAUGUAUAUUUCCCGUAUAUAUGAAGUAUACGAACUUUAAAAAAAAUCCAUAGAAAUGGUGUUUAUUCGUGUCCUGCUUUAACACAAGUUUCAUUUUCAUGUAUUCGAAGAGUCUUGAGACUUUUUUCCCGUAUACUUUCCGUAUUUUAGAAUGUACGGAACACGUAUACGAGCCUUUAUAUUCCGGAUAUACGUAGUAUACGGAUGCCGUAUUUUUAUCAUAUACGGACUGUAAUUGCAUCUAAUAUACGGGACAUAUACGGACUUGUAUUUUCUAAUAUACGAGCUUCGGAUGUGUUUUGUAUACGCAUGUUUUCUGUAUACGCAUGAUAUACUUAGUAUACGGAUCCGGUACUUGUGUCAUAUACGGGGAAUAUACGAAACUGUAUUUUUUGAUGUACGGACUACGGACUAGUCCCGUAUAUGCAUGGUAUACGCAAUAUACGGAUCCCGUACUUGUGUCAUAUACGGAAUGUAUUUGCAUCUGAUACACGGGUAUAUACUGACCUGUAGUUUUUGAUAUACGGGCCAGGUUUUUUUCCGUUUAUGCAAGAUAUGCGUAGUAUACAGAUCACAUAUUUGUGUCACAUUCAGAUCUAGACUGAAUUUGGUUUUCGUAUUCGGGGAAUUCACUGACCAGUAUUUCUAAAAGAUACGUUUACCAGACUUUUCCCGUAUAUGCAUUAUGUGUAGUAUACGAAUCCCGUAUUUUUCUUUUAUGUGAACUGAUUUUGUAUAUGGGAACACAAUGAAAGAUGACAUAAAAUGAAGGUCAGUCAUACCUACAGCAGAAUACAGUAUGUUAGAAAAGCAAGACAAAGACAGGGUAUGAGAAAAAAGUUCAUAUUGUUAUUAAUUGGAGACAUGUCAGAUUAAAUUAACAUUUUAUUCAACUUAAAUAAUUUAAAACAGUUUUUCAAACGAUUAUGAAUUAUUUUCAUUUCUUGUCCAAAUGUAAUAAGCAGAAAAUGUAGGUAAUCAAUAACAUCAAGCAUUUCUUAUGUUCAUUUCUAAUUGAAAAACUAGUAAUUCGCACAUUUAAUUCUGCGCAGUUGACUCAACAAAUCAGUUGAGUAUCACUUCUUUUACUACUGUUAGUACAUGUUUUCGUUAUUCCCAUGAAUGUUGAUUACCGCUAUAGGCUUUUCGAUUUGCCGUCUGCUAAGAAGAGCAGUACACCCCUUCUAAUGUCCGAAGAUGUAUUCAAAACGAGCGCUUUAAAAAGACGCUUGUUGGUUCUGUGCUGGAACUCGAUAUGUAAGCAGGUUACAGAUGAUGCACCCCAUGGAAAUAUUCAGUUUCCUGAUCUCAAUAAGUUUAAGCUUUUAUCUGUUGUUUCGAAUGUCACUGAGAACGAAUGGCUCAUCCGGGCUGUCUGUCUGCAUCUGUUGAUCAAACUAGUAGAACUACUCACAUAAGCAUAUUCUCUAUCGUGAAAAUAAAUAGUCGUCCAGUUUUCUGAUUCCAGUAAACAACUUUUGUGUCAACCUGGAAUAAAAAAUGCACGCAUUAAAAGUUAUAAAAAUGGACUCUUGCAAUUCAUAGAUACUGAAAAUUAUAUCUAUUAAACGAUGUGAAAAUUAUGACGAAUAAAAUGACAUGUGGGCAGGGAUGACAACAUCAUUUAAUUGUCAGAACGCACCAUACUCAUUUCGUCGUGUAAAGAAAUUAGAUAUCAUUAAAUGUGCCUGUUGAUAUUUAAUACAAGUUAUCUACAGUGUUUUAUUUGCAUUUUAUGGUUAUAUUACGUUAAAAUCUAUCUCCUAAAUUAUAUUUAAUAUAAAAUGCAUGGUGUUCAUAGUGCCGUCACACGUUGUCCGGCCAAUCCUCUCCUCAUUUUGAAGGAUUGUCUUCAAACAACUUUCUUCAAGAGAGAUUUUACCUGUCACAAAACUUCAAAAGCACAUAAAGUGCGGUAAUGGGAUCUAAAUAACACUUGCCCAUUUUAUUCCUACCAAAAUGUCAAAACUACAUCCACAGUAUAAUUUUAAAACAAAGCUAGCGUUAACGUAAACUAUGCUAAAUUAGUGUUCUUUAACCUGUCCGCCAUUACGCAAUCCUCCGUGUUAGAACUUAUUCAAAAUGCACAAUAAUUCUUUUGUACAGUUUUGAUAAAAUAUAUGAGAGUGACAUCAUAGUCGCGUUGUUAAGCUUUUUUUUUUAAAUUAAUUUCAAACAUCUCUUUAAACUUUGUGACUGAACAAGUUCUGAACGAUAUAUUUAAUUUGCCACUCAAGGUUUUAAUUUUUUGGUUAAACAAUCUGAAGAGUUUCCAGAAUUUCCAAUCUCGCGGUCAGUAUAAUAUUCUCAGACAAGUAAAAUAUUCAUCAUAAACGUCUCAUCUCUUCAUGUUAGAAUAAAUAUAAUGCAUCUCGAUUUUUAAUCCAGCAGUCCUGUAUUAAAGUAUGCAAAUAGAAAACUAACUGUAAAUCUGGAUUUAAAAUUAUCCAAAUUUCAUAGAUUAACCUAACUAAUAAAUAAUACCAGAGUAUCAAUAUAAUUUACAUUAUUUCAAAUAAAAAUUUUGCCGAAUAUUCGAUAAUAAUUAUGUAACAGUGUAUACAUGUCCAAUUUGUGGUAAAAUGAAAUAAAUGGUACUAAUUUGAUUGAAUGUUUGAAGAUCGAAUUUACAGACAUACUCGAUUUCAUUCCUAACAAAUGACCACUUUGUUUUCAGAAUGAUUGGUUUUGCACGAGCGCAUGUCUAUUCCUGCACGUGAACAGGCCUGACUAGAGUAACAGAAAAACGGUAGACAUGCAAAGAUAGACCUUCCCCCGAGAUGUUUAUUGUUCUCAGAGAUUUUUUUUCUCGUAAUAUAUAGACCCUAUGCAAACUGGCUUUAAUAUUCCUUAAAUGCACAGGAUAUACUUGACGAUAAAAUUCUAUAAAUGACAUCUGUUAUUUAUGAAUACGGAAUAAAAUAUUGAAAGGAGGUUCGAUUAAAAAGCAGAAUUAUCAGUUCAUCAAGGAUAUCUUCCAAGCUAAAGUUGUCACAUUAUGAAACUUAAAAUAGGAAUUUUCGUUUCAAUAAACUAUUUAAAAAUGUCAUAUUUAGAAAAAAAGAUGGUCGCGCCGGGAAUCGAACCCUGACCGUCGUGGCAAUAAAGAAGUUUUCCGCUGUUCUUACCAAUAACGCAAUGGAGGGUUUAGUGUUUAAUGCGCGUUAAAUAUACAAAUUUCAUCGUAAAAAUUACGCAAAAUUUUGGGUGAAACUCGACGUCAGUUUUAUGUGUUUUGCGUUCAAAAUCGUUUGCCUCCAAUGUGACGUCUAAUUAAACUUGACAAAUUAUAUAUCAUUGGAGAGAUAAUUUUAACAAUUUUUGCUGUAUUUUGGUUGUAUAUAGAAACGCUACUUAGAAAACCUGUUAAGUACAUCAUUUUGCGCCCUGCUGAAAAAAAAGACGUUUGUGGUCAUAUUUGAAGAUUUUACAGCUGCAAAAUGGAGAAAAACAGAGAACUGAAACUGUCAAUCGGAAAUAUCGUCAACUUUAAUUUGUGAAAAUGUCAUAAUGGUCCGUUGAAAAUCGAUCGGUGGCGCAUAUUUAAAAUAACAGACUUAGCUGAGCAAUUACUUAUUUUUUGUAUGGUCCUGAAAGUAAAUGUUUAUUUUAGAUGUAUAAUAUGUAACGCUUUUUAAAUAUGUUAGAUACCAUAUUCAUAUUACUAAAUAUUACUUUUAUUUGACAAUAAAUAAAGUA